rnacentral:lncRNA from 1 species
AUCCGCCGGAAGGAGGGCGCAGCAUUGCCGGUCUUCUCAUUGCCUGGCUGCUAGAGGAAACCCGAAGUCGGGAUUCUUUCUUUCCUGCUCUGAGAGGGACCAGGUCCCUCCUCCGUAGCUUUUGUCUCUCUAUUGCCUGCGCCGUGUCCUGGACUGCUCACGGGAGUUCUGCAGGAGACGCCGGAAUAUCUGGAAGCUGAAAAAUGGAAAUAAAUGGAAAGACCAGAAUAUUGAAGAUCACUACAGAAAUCUAAGACAUCAGCCAACUGGAAACACAGACUCUCUGUGACAAUAAGAAACCAAAUUACAAACAAGACCUAAGGCCAUGCAAGGCAAGAGGUGACUCCCACGACCAGUGCGGGUCACAGCACAGGCGACAGAAGCUAUGGCAGAGGCACCUGAACCCUCUCGGAGGGGAAAGCCAGGCUCCCAACCUCAGCUCGCCGCCUGGAGCCGGGAACCGAGGAGAGCAGGGCCUUCGCCCUCCCCGAUGGACACUCGGCAGGCCCCGCCCAGCGCCCCUGAUUGGACGAAGCGCCGGGCCCCGCCCCCUCAGCCGUGAGUGACAAUAGAAGCCCUUGGUAACGGGGCUCUGAAAACGGGUUUGACCGGAUCCAGCGAUAGAUUCUUUAAGCCAGAGUUUUGAGUCAGGGUCUCACCCUGUGGCCCAGGCUGCCCUCCAGUGAUGCCAUCAUGACUCAGUGCAACCUCAAACUCCCAGGUUCAAGCGAUCUUCCAUCCUGACCUCCAAAAGGGCUGGAUUAUACACAUAAGCCAUGUCACACUUUAUAUGUUUCUAGGGAAGCUUUUCUAAGAAUAAAUACAUUGGAACU